AUUGAACGCUGGCGGCAGGCCUAACACAUGCAAGUCGAACGAGUGGCGGACGGGUGAGUAAUGUCUGUGAAACUGCCUGAUGGAGGGGGAUAACUACUGGAAACGGUAGCUAAUACCGCAUACCAUCAGAUGUGCCCAGAUGGGCUUAGCUUUUGGGUGGGGUAACGGCUCACCAAGGCGACGAUCCCUAGCUGGUCUGAGAGGCUGACCAGCCACACGGGAACUGGACAACGGUCCAGACUCCUACGGAAGGAGGCAGUGGGGAAUAUUGGACAAUGGGCGAAAGCCGGAUGCAGCAAUGCCGCGUGUAUGAAGAAGGCCUUCGGGUUGUAAAGUACUUUCAGAGGGGAGGCGUUACCCGCAGAAGAAGCACCGGCUAACUCCGUGCCAGCAGCCGCGGUAAUAC
rnacentral:rRNA from 1 species